CCUAGGUGGGCCCUCUUUAUUUACAGGCCUGCCCGUACAUUUGGUUUCGUCACACCACAACCGAAUUUAGCUUUAGUUUUGCAUUGUUCCCUGUCACAGGUGCCUCAUUCUUCCAGGGCUUUAUUUAACCUUUUACUGCAGAGAGCCCCAGAUUGAAUUUUUUUCCCCAAGUAAGUGGGUUAAACUCAUAAGAGCAGACAUUAAGUUGUUCGAG